UAAAGUGGUGUGAAGUAAAUGCGGCAACGAAGAAGUGCACUUGCAGCCGAGGCGGAGCCGCCGGUCGUGCGCACGGCAAUUUCACGGCACAUCGCAAAUGUCGACAUGUUCCCGAAACCGAAGGAAGAUUAUCAGCGCGAGCAAACGAGGUGGGGCGCUCUUCUUAGCGUUUUCACUGUGUUUUUUGUGAUUUUUCUCGUGUUGUGGGAAGGCGCCGCAUACCUAAGAGGGCGCGACGCGUAUGAUACAGAUGUUUCUCUCGACAAAGGACUUUCAGAGGAUAUGCCGGUGCAUUUCGACGUACUUUUCCCGUUCAUGCCUUGCAAUCGUCUUAGCAUUGACGUUGUUGACACAACGGGGAUGGCAAAGUUCAACUAUACAGGCAGGCUACACAAACUUCCCACCGCGCUUGACGGAGAAGUCGUGUACAAAGGAAGCCUGAAGGAUCUCGACAAUGAAAUGGAGACGAGGGAAGGGCGCGCUGGUAAAAAGUGCCGCCCGUGCCCACCAUCUGCCUUUGAUGGAGUACCCGCAGAGGUGCGCAGCGCAGCCGAGUUGAAGUGCUGCGACACCUGCGAGAGCGUCUUGGACUUGUACAAGGAGCUGGGAAAGGGUAUUCCAGGCACUGAGUACAUUCCGCAGUGCCUGGAGCAGUUGUACCAACGAGCGAGCGGGUGCACCGUGAUGGGCUCUCUCGACUUGAAAAAGGUUCCUGUCACAGUCAUUUUCGGUCCCCGACGUACCGGCCAUUUUUACUCGCUUAAGGAUGUGAUUCGAUUGGAUACCUCUCAUUUCAUCAGAAAACUACGCAUCGGGGAUGAGACUGUGGAGCGGUUUUCAAAGAAUGGUGUGGCUGAGCCGCUUUCUGGUCACAAGUCGUCUUCGAAGACUUACUCGGAGACACGUUACUUAGUGAAGGUGGUUCCCACAACUUACAGAAAAACGAAGACAAAAAACGCAAAGGCUUCCACCUAUGAGUAUAGUGCCCAGUGGAGCAGGCGGACGAUUGUGGUGGGUUUCGCUGGAGCGGUCCCUGCUGUGCUGUUCGAGUUUGAGCCUGCCCCUAUUCAGGUGAACAAUGUGUUCGAGCGACAGCCUUUUUCGCACUUCCUGGUGCAGCUCUGCGGUAUCGUAGGUGGAUUGUUUGUUGUUCUGGGAUUUAUCGACAAUGUUGUCGACUGGGUUGGCGCUUUCGGGAAGUGGUAGCGGUAGAUAAGUUGUUUUUCUUCUCCGUCCGCUCUAUAUGGGGCGCGAAAUCACAAUAGAACAAUCUGAGGCUGUUGAAUGCUCUGCUACGACUGUCCUACUCAAACAAAUGAGGAGUAUAUGUUUUGCGUUUUUUGUCGCCUGAAAAGGUCUCAGCAUUGUGAGUCCAGUUAACUGGUGCUUGGCAAU
rnacentral:misc_RNA from 1 species